rnacentral:rRNA from 1 species
ACAGAGGGGGCAAGCGUUGUUCGGAAUUAUUGGGCGUAAAGGGCGCGUAGGCGGUGCGGUAAGUCACCUGUGAAAUCCCGGGGCUCAACCCCGGAACUGCAUUCGAAACUGCCUUGCUCGAGUACUGGAGAGGAGACUGGAAUUUACGGUGUAGCAGUGAAAUGCGUAGAUAUCGUAAGGAAGACCAGUGGCGAAGGCGAGUCUCUGGACAGUUACUGACACUGAGGCACGAAGGCCAGGGGAGCAAACGGGA